rnacentral:lncRNA from 1 species
AUGAAGGAAUUUGGGCCCUAUUGGUGGGCAGUGUGGGAUGGGAAGUUGUCCCUUUCUAUCAUGCAUUCUUUCUGCUUUUGUCUGACAGUGAGGAAGGAUACAGAACGUGAAGAACAAGCAGCAGAGCUGGCGGAACUGAAAGCAGAGCGGGAGGAAAAGAAUGCAAGGCUGGCACACCGAUCUGCAAGACUGCAGGAACUAGCCAAAGAGCGGGAGAAAAAAGAUGCAAAGCUCAGGGAACAAGCUGCAGAGCUGGCAUGGAGAAAGUUUCUGCUGCCUCACUAUACAGGUAGGUGUGUGUUAAGUUGCCCUCUGCAGUGCUUCUCCUGCCCUUGCUGGGGCAUGUUCAGGAGCCA